rnacentral:rRNA from 1 species
UACGUAGGUGACAAGCGUUAUCCGGAAUUACUGGGCGUAAAGCGCACGCAGGCGGUGAGAUAAGUCCGAUGUGAAACCUUCCGGCUUAACCGGAAGACGUCGUUGGAUACUGUUUCACUUGAGGCAAUGAGAGGAAUGCGGAAUUCCCGGUGUAAUGGUGGAAUAUGUAGAUAUCGGGAGGAACAUCUGUGGCGAAAGCGGCAUUCUAGCAUUAGCCUGACGCUCAUGUGCGAAAGCGUGGGGAGCAAACGGG